CAAUAGCGUAUAUUAAAGUUGUUGCAGUUAAAAAGCUCGUAGUUGAAUUUCUGGUGGGCGCGCCGGUCUUCCAAGUGUUGUACUGGGCGCAGUCCGCCAUCCUUGUGGAGAGGGCUCGCAUUGAGUUGCGUGUCGGAUCUGCAUCAUUUACUGUGAAAAAAUUAGAGUGUUUAAAGCAGGCUGUCGCUUGAAUACAUUAGCAUGGAAUAAUAAGAUAGGACUUCGGUCUAUUUUGUUGGUUGCGAACCGAGGUAAUGAUUAAUAGGGAUAGUUGGGGGUAUUCAUAUUUAAUUGUCAGAGGUGAAAUUCUUGGAUUUAUGAAAGAUGAACAACUGCGAAAGCAUUUACCAAGGAUGUUUUCAUUAA
rnacentral:rRNA from 1 species